rnacentral:rRNA from 1 species
GAUGAACGCUGGCGGCGUGCCUAAUACAUGCAAGUCGAGCGAACGGACGAGAAGCUUGUUUCUCUGAUGUUAGCGGCGGACGGGUGAGUAACACGUGGAUACUCUACCUAUAAGACUGGUAUAAUUUCGGGAAACCGGAGCUAAUACCGUAUAAUAUUUUGAACCGCAUUGUUCAAAAGUGAAAGACGGUCUUGCUGUCACUUAUAGAUGGAUCCGCGCUGCAUUAGCUAGUUGGUAAGUUACCGGCUUACCAAGGCAACGAUGCAUAGCCGACCUGAGAGGGUGAUAGGCCACACUGGAACUGAGACACGGUCCAGACUCCUACGGGAGGCAGCAGUAGGGAAUCUUCCGCAAUGGGCGAAAGCCUGACGGAGCAACGCCGCGUGAGUGAUGAAGGUCUUCGGAUCGUAAAACUCUGUUAUUAGGGAAGAACAUAUGUGUAAGUAACUGUGCACAUCUUGACGGUACCUAAUCAGAAAGCCACGGCUAACUACGUG